UACGUAGGGGGCUAGCGUUGUCCGGAAUCAUUGGGCGUAAAGCGCGUGUAGGCGGUUCGGCAAGUCCGCUGUGAAAGUCGGGGGCUCAACCCUCGAAUGCCGGUGGAUACUGUCGGACUAGAGUACGGAAGAGGCGAGUGGAAUUCCUGGUGUAGCGGUGAAAUGCGCAGAUAUCAGGAGGAACACCGAUUGCGAAGGCAGCUCGCUGGAACGUUACUGACGCUGAGACGCGAAAGCGUGGGGAGCAAACAGG
rnacentral:rRNA from 1 species